AUGGCUUCUCAGCGGCAGGGUGUAGGGGCCUCUGUGCGCCGGAGAUCUCUCCAGUACCAGGAGCAGCUCAAGAACAGCAAGGAGCUGCAGCCUGUGGCCAGCCAUCCAGGAGACCCCUGCCGCAGCCCUGGGUUCCCUGUGCAGACAGUUCCAAAGGAGGCUGCCCCUGACAGCCAUCAACCUCAAUCUCUGGGGAGACCCCUCCUGCAAACACUUGGAAACCCCAGAGCCAGGGCAGCAGAGCCUCCAAGCUGCAGCUCGCUCAGCUAAGAGUACCUCAGGUGCCAAGUCCCAGAGAAUCCAGGAGUCCUGACACCAAGUGGCUGGUGGAGACUCAGGUGAAGGCCAGGAGGAGAAAGAGAGGGGCACAGAAGAGCAGUGGAUCCCUGACUCACAGCCUGAGCCAGAAGAGCACCCAGCUGUCUGGAGGCGCCCCUGUCCACUCAGCCGCAGACCCCUGGGAGAAGGAGCAUCACUGCCUCUCUGCCCGGAUGGGUUCACGUACCCACCCACUACGGCGGUUGAGGCGGGAGUCUGCCUUGUAGAGCCCCUUACCCCUUGACAGAGCCCCUCUGCUCUCCCAGUGAGUCUGACAGUGACCUAGAGCCUGUGGAGGCAGAAAUUCAGCAUCUCCAGAAGCUGUCCCAAGAGCUGGAUGAAGCCAUUAUGGCAGAAGAGUGCAGGAAACAAGCCCUGUCUGAUCACCAAAACUUCACACCCAGUAUGUCUGUGCUUCCCCAUGA
rnacentral:lncRNA from 1 species